rnacentral:rRNA from 1 species
GCGUAAUGAUUUGAGCACUGUCUCGGCAAUAAAUCCGGUGAAAUUGUAGUGCAAGUGAAGAUGCUUGCUACCCGCGGUUGGACGGAAAGACCCCGUAGAGCUUUACUGUAGCUUAGCAUUGAAUUUCGGUAUUGUCUGUACAGGAUAGGUGGGAGACUUAGAAGCGAGGGCGUCAGCUUUCGUGGAGUCGUCCUUGGGAUACCACCCUGACAGUACUGGAAUUCUAACUGGAGGCCAUGAAUCUGGUCACAGGACAUUGCUAGGUGGGCAGUUUGACUGGGGCGGUCGCCUCCUAAAAGGUAACGGAGGCGCCCAAAGGUUCCCUCAGCGCGGUCGGAAAUCGCGCGUAGAGUGCAAAGGCAGAAGGGAGCCUGACUGCGACACAUACAGGUGGAGCAGGGACGAAAGUCGGGCUUAGUGAUCCGGUGGUUCUGUAUGGAAGGGCCAUCGCUCAACGGAUAAAAGCUACCUCGGGGAUAACAGGCUGAUCUCCCCCAAGAGUCCACAUCGACGGGGAGGUUUGGCACCUCGAUGUCGGCUCGUCGCAUCCUGGGGCUGUAGUCGGUCCCAAGGGUUGGGCUGUGCGCCCAUUAAAGCGGCACGCGAGCUGGGUUCAGAACGUCGGGAGACAGUUCGGUCCCUAUCCGCCGUGGGCGUAGGAAAUUUGAGAGGAGCUGUCCUUAGUACGAGAGGACCGGGAUGGACCAACCUCUGGUGCACCAGUUGUU